UACAGAGGUGGCAAGCGUUGUUCGGAAUUACUGGGCGUAAAGGGCGCGUAGGCGGCCUUGUAAGUCCUGUGUGAAAUCCCCCGGCUCAACUGGGGAACUGCACAGGAGACUGCUUGGCUUGAGUUCGGGAGAGGGAAGCGGAAUUCCGGGUGUAGCGGUGAAAUGCGUAGAUAUCCGGAGGAACACCGGUGGCGAAGGCGGCUCACUGGCCCGGUACUGACGCUGAGGCACGAAAGCGUGGGGAGCAAACAGG
rnacentral:rRNA from 1 species